rnacentral:lncRNA from 1 species
GACAGAAUUCUGGACUGAAAUGGGGUGAGCACAGAGAUCUUUAUGAUGCUAUAACCCUUCAGUGUUCUGCUGGAGACACUGUGGCUUGUGGAAGGUGUUCAGCUCAGCAAGGUCGUUGAUAGACCCAAGAGGAAAGAAGGCAGGGAGAAAUGACUCAAGACUAGAUCUGAGACUGUGGCUCUAUCCACUCUGUAUGAGGAGUCCUUAUCCACAGGGGAAAUACAUUGAGUGUACUGAAUUACCGUGCCUGCCUAAACCAGCCACUUUAGUGGGCCUAAUGUCAUUUGCUCAUAUAAAUGUUCCCUACCAAUUCAUUCCUUUUUCACAGUGGCCGAGGAAAUGUACAUUCAUUGUUAAAACAAACAAAGAACCCUUCUGUGCUGCCUGACUUGCAAGUGAUGCUGAGACCCUCCCAGGAUACAGGCUCAGCAGAGAAUAUCCCUGCCCUUUAUUUGGUUUGUGGGAAGGGAGUGGGAGGCUAUUGUUUGGAUCCAGGACUGGCAAUGUACACUGGAACAUUCCUUCUCCACCUAAGCCCUGAGACAACCGCAAUCCAGGAAAGAGUUAAGUCAGAAAGAGGAAAAUAUCUCACCAGCAUAGCUUUUAAACAAAAGACAUGAAAAUGGAGGCUCUCCGUAUAUGGAAAAAUUUUCCCUUUUCAUCCAUAUUGAUAGCCAGAGGGGGUUAUUAUUGAGAAUAUGGGUAAAGUUACUGCCAGUUUUUGCUGCUACUCGUGUUUAAAAAGAAACUAUGGAAACCGAGAGAAGGAAUAUUAAUUAAGUUCAAAUUUGGAAUGUCUUUGCCAGGCGUGGAUGAAUGAAUUCAAUGAAGCAACCUGUUGGGUUGAAACUCAGUGUUUUGUUUGCAAUUAAAAGAGUGCUGAACUUUUCAUAGAUUAACACUUUUUGCAGUAAUCUUAUUAAAAGGUUAUUUCUUCAUGAGAUUAGUUCUGGAAUGCAUUUUUUUUCUAUUUAAAGAACCAGUAGAUAUUUUCUCUCCACCCCCUCCCCCACAAUUGUAAGUAGCUGCAUUACUAAGUAUGCCCCCCAAUGUUUACAAAUGUUAAUACAUUUACUUGCUAAAAAUAACACCAAAUGGCACAGACUAGCAAAUCCUCAAACACCCCAGCCUUGGCAUCUUCCCCCACCUCUAACUGAAGAAACUUGUUACCAGUCUGGUAGAUCAUUAAGAGAUUUGAUUUGCAAAAACUAACUUCUCUCACCUGGAAAUCCAAGCAACCUACAAGUUACUGGACCUGUUUUAAUUUUUUUUAAGAGCCUGUGGUUUGAAUAUAUAUAUAAACUUUCUAAGGUCCUUGGAUAGUUACAUGGUCUAAGAGUUAUUUAUAGCCUGUGACUUUUCUAAGACUGUUUCCAGUACUGAAAGACAGAGGCCCAAGUGGAUAACGCUAACGAACAAAUCUGAAACGAGACAAUUCUUCAUUUAAAUAAAGCUAGACUAGCUUCAUUGGCCACCGCGGGGGGUGGGUGGGGGGUGGGGGGGUGUUAAAGGAUGCCCCCACUUUACAAUGUGAGUAAGUUGUGGCCGUCGUAGUUCUCUGAUUAAUUUGCUUCUUUCUGGUAGGGGGAUAGCAAUGCUGAGGCAAACACUGACGAAACUGGAAAUCAGCUCUGUUUAGUAAAUGGGAAGCCGCGUUCUAAACACAGACAGCAUCCUAAGGGCUCUGCUCGCAUGCUAAGCCGCGUGCCUGGCUGAUGGGCCGCCGCAGCUGCGGAACAAUGCACUUCUCAUGGAUGGUAGGAGGGAGGCAGUCUUGUUUCAAGUAAUACUAUUUCUGGGCGGUAAUCCAAAAUGCGCAGUAGGCAGAAGUUAAAAGGAAGCGCUUGCUUUUAGGUUUUUAAAAUAUAUCCCUUAAUCCAGGGUGAUGAUUGACAAUCAUGAUUUAGAGUAUGAGGGGCCGCUCUUUAAUCCAGUAAGUUUGAUGUUAUUUGUGUAUCUAGUAGGGCUUUUAUUCCACUAAAACUAAGUGGAAGCCUGUGCAAUUGAUGCCGCAUUUCAGAAUUGAUUCUUGGCCUGUGCUCUAUUUACAGAUUAGUAAGCACACAGGAUCCGGCCUCCUCAUCUUUUUGAAAUUUAAAGGUCUUGAAAGGCACAUUUACAAUUAAAAUGUUUCUUGCUGUGUACGAGUGUGACCAGGAAGUGACGUUUUUUUCCCCCCUGUGAUUUAAUUUUUUUUCCCUAAACCAGAAAAGAAGCAGUUUGUAAGAUUUUCUAAUACAAUUAUCAAAUGGAGCCUUAACCAUUCAUUCUGUUUACAGGUGGCUGAAAUAUUGUCGCCGAUGCCUCUGUGUAAUUUGUUGGAAGCACAUUUGAGACAUGUUACUGAACGGUCCCCUAGCCUUUGUUCCCCCUGUAGAUCUCCAUGGACGCUUUUUCUGGAGACUAGAUCACUGUGCAGCCAUUGUGCGCCUAUUGUUUUCAUCAACUGGGGCAAUACUCUUCAUAAAAGGCCCACAUGAUGAAACCAUCAUCUCGGAAUCAAGAAGUCCAAAACUAAGAUAUAAACAGAGGGAUCAGAGUGAGGGGUGCACUCUACGGUAGGGAUGGAACGUGCUUCUUGUCCCUCGAACUGUCCUUGCUGUCCUUUCUUCAAUCCUGAAUAAAACAAACUGGCCUUAGAAAUGAGAGGAGGAAAGGAAAAGCCGGAGUGACAGAGUUUUGUCUGCAUUCUGAGGUCUUUAAUUGGGAAAUUCUUAAAGUAGAACACAUUCACUGCGAAGCGUUUGGAAACU